CUACGGGUCGCUGCAGUGGGGAAUUUUGGACAAUGGGCGCAAGCCUGAUCCAGCCAUUCCGCGUGAGUGAAGAAGGCCUUCGGGUUGUAAAGCUCUUUCGCAAGGGAAGAAAACUUAUCCUCUAACAUAGGGUGAGGUUGACGGUACCUUGAUAAGAAGCACCGGCUAACUACGUGCCAGCAGCCGCGGUAAUACGUAGGGUGCGAGCGUUAAUCGGAAUUACUGGGCGUAAAGCGUGCGCAGGCUGUUUUGUAAGUCAGAUGUGAAAUCCCCGAGCUCAACUUGGGAACUGCGUUUGAACUACAAGACUAGAAUAUGGCAGAGGGGGGUAGAAUUCCAUGUGUAGCAGUGAAAUGCGUAGAGAUGUGGAGGAAUACCAAUGGCGAAGGCAGCCCCCUGGGAUAAUAUUGACGCUCAUGCACGAAAGCGUGGGGAGCAAACAGGAUUAGAUACCCUAGUAGUC
rnacentral:rRNA from 1 species